ACAAUUUUGUUACAGAUGCUGAAAAAGCCUCACCAACUCUCUAGGGAAAUUUGAGGUACCAAGGAACAUGCUGGGCACAGGAUCAAAUGGUGAACAGGACCCUGCGGCUGCCAGUCUGGUAGUGGAAACACAGUUGAAUGGGGUGAGGGUGAGCGAUGCAUGGAGAAACUGCUCCUUGCAGAGGAAAUACCCACAUAUAAGAGAGCAUGCAGCCCCUCUGAAGAGCUGGAAAGAGAGCUCAUCUAGUUCUCACCCCAACCCUACCUCAGCUCUGGGAGGUG